rnacentral:rRNA from 1 species
UGGGGAAUAUUGGACAAUGGGCGAAAGCCUGAUCCAGCCAUGCCGCGUGUGUGAAGAAGGUCUUCGGAUUGUAAAGCACUUUAAGUUGGGAGGAAGGGCAGUUACCUAAUACGUGAUUGUCUUGACGUUACCGACAGAAUAAGCACCGGCUAACUCUGUGCCAGCAGCCGCGGUAAUACAGAGGGUGCAAGCGUUAAUCGGAAUUACUGGGCGUAAAGCGCGCGUAUGCGGUUUGUUAAGUUGGAUGUGAAAUCCCCGGGCUCAACCUGGGAACUGCAUUCAAAACUGUCAAGCUAGAGUAUGGUAGAGGGUGGUGGAAUUUCCUGUGUAGCGGUGAAAUGCGUAGAUAUAGGAAGGAACACCAGUGGCGAAGGCGACCACCUGGACUGAUACUGACACUGAGGUGCGAAAGCGUGGGGAGCAAAACAGGAUUAGAUACCCUGGUAGUCCACGCCGUAAACGUGUCAACUAGCCGUUGGGAGCCUUGAGCUCUUAGUGGCGCAGCUAACGCAUUAAGUUGACCGCCUGGGGAGUACGG